rnacentral:rRNA from 1 species
GGAUUAGAUACCCGGGUAGUCCCAGCUGUAAACUAUGCAAACUCAGUGAUGCAUUGACUUGUGGUCAAUGCAGUGCUGCAGGGAAGCCGUUAAGUUUGCCGCCUGGGAAGUACGUACGCAAGUAUGAAACUUAAAGGAAUUGGCGGGGGAGCAUCACAAGGGGUGAAGCCUGCGGUUUAAUUGGACUCAAC